GCGGGUUUAGCUCAGUUGGGAGAGCGUCAGACUGAAGAAUUAACUUCAUUCAAUCAAUUCAAUUGAUAUCUGAAGGUCAUGUGUUCGAUCCACAUAAACCGCA